GGAGUUAGCCGGUGCUUCUUCUGUGAGUGAUGUCCUUCCUGCCGGCUAUUAACCCGCAGGCCUUCUUCCUCACUGAAAGUGCUUUACAACCCGAAGGCCUUCUUCACACACGCGGCAUGGCUGGAUCAGGGUUGCCCCCAUUGUCCAAUAUUCCCCACUGCUGCCUCCCGUAGGAGUCUGGGCCGUGUCUCAGUCCCAGUGUGGCUGAUCAUCCUCUCAGACCAGCUACGGAUCGUCGCCUUGGUGAGACGUUACCUCACCAACCAGCUAAUCCGACAUAGGCUCAUCCGAUAGCGCGAGGCCCGAAGGUCCCCCGCUUUCCCCCGUAGGGCGUAUGCGGUAUUAGCCUGGGUUUCCCCAGGUUAUCCCCCACUACCGGGCAGAUUCCUAUGCAUUACUCACCCGUCCGCCGCUCGCCACCAGGGAGCAAGCUCCCCGUGCUGCCGCUCGACUUGCAUGUGUUAGGCCUGCCGCCACGCGUCAUCUGAGCGAGAUACAACUACUCGA
rnacentral:rRNA from 1 species